CCGCUUGCGGGGUGGAUCAGUGGCGAACGGGUGAGUAACACGUGAGCAACCUGCCCCUGACUCUGGGAUAAGCGCUGGAAACGGCGUCUAAUACUGGAUACGAGACGUGAUCGCAUGGUCAACGUUUGGAAAGAUUUUUCGGUUGGGGAUGGGCUCGCGGCCUAUCAGCUUGUUGGUGAGGUAAUGGCUCACCAAGGCGUCGACGGGUAGCCGGCCUGAGAGGGUGACCGGCCACACUGGGACUGAGACACGGCCCAGACUCCUACGGGAGGCAGCAGUGGGGAAUAUUGCACAAUGGGCGCAAGCCUGAUGCAGCAACGCCGCGUGAGGGAUGACGGCCUUCGGGUUGUAAACCUCUUUUAGCAGGGAAGAAGCGAGAGUGACGGUACCUGCAGAAAAAGCACCGGCUAACUACGUGCCAGCAGCCGCGGUAAUACGUAGGGUGCAAGCGUUAUCCGGAAUUAUUGGGCGUAAAGAGCUCGUAGGCGGUUUGUCGCGUCUGCUGUGAAAUCUGGGGGCUCAACCCCCAGCCUGCAGUGGGUACGGGCAGACUAGAGUGCGGUAGGGGAGAUUGGAAUUCCUGGUGUAGCGGUGGAAUGCGCAGAUAUCAGGAGGAACACCGAUGGCGAAGGCAGAUCUCUGGGCCGUAACUGACGCUGAGGAGCGAAAGGGUGGGGAGCAAACAGGCUUAGAUACCCUGGUAGUCCACCCCGUAAACGUUGGGAACUAGUUGUGGGGUC
rnacentral:rRNA from 1 species